rnacentral:rRNA from 1 species
UACGAAGGGAGCUAGCGUUGUUCGGAAUCACUGGGCGUAAAGCGCACGUAGGCGGAUGUGUCAGUCAGGGGUGAAAUCCCGGAGCUCAACUUCGGAACUGCCUUUGAUACAGCACGUCUUGAGUCCGGAAGAGGUGGGUGGAAUUCCUAGUGUAGAGGUGAAAUUCGUAGAUAUUAGGAAGAACACCGGUGGCGAAGGCGGCCCACUGGUCCGGUACUGACGCUGAGGGGCGAAAGCGUGGGGAGCGAACAGG